rnacentral:misc_RNA from 1 species
CCAAUAGCGUAUAUUAAAGUUGUUGCAGUUAAAAAGCUCGUAGUUGAAUUUCGGGAUCAAUUUGUUGGUCGUGCCUCGGUUACCUCUUGGCUUAUUGGUUUCUCCCUUCUGACGAACCGUGAUGUCAUUAAUUUGGUGUCGUGGGGAAUCAGGACUGUUACUUUGAAAAAAUUAGAGUGUUUAAAGCAGGCUUACGCUUGAAUAUAUUAGCAUGGAAUAAUGAAAUAGGACGUUUGAUUCUAUUUUGUUGGUUUCUAGGAUUGACGUAAUGAUUAAUAGGGAUAGUUGGGGGCAUUAGUAUUCAAUUGUCAGAGGUGAAAUUCUUGGAUUUAUUGAAGACUAACUACUGCGAAAGCAGUUGCCAAGGAUGUUUUCAUUAAUCAAGAACGAAAGUUAGGGGAUCGAAGACGAUCAGAUACCGUCGUAGUCUUAACCAUAAACUAUGCCGACUAGGGAUCGGAUGAUGUUAAUUUUUUAAUGACUCAUUCGGCGCCUUACG